rnacentral:rRNA from 1 species
GACGAACGCUGGCGGCGUGCUUAACACAUGCAAGUCGAACGGAAAGGCCCUGCUUUUGUGGGGUGCUCGAGUGGCGAACGGGUGAGUAACACGUGAGUAACCUGCCCUUGACUUUGGGAUAACUUCAGGAAACUGGGGCUAAUACCGGAUAGGAGCUCCUGCUGCAUGGUGGGGGUUGGAAAGUUUCGGCGGUUGGGGAUGGACUCGCGGCUUAUCAGCUUGUUGGUGGGGUAGUGGCUUACCAAGGCUUUGACGGGUAGCCGGCCUGAGAGGGUGACCAGACAAACUGGAAGUGAGACACGGUCAAGAGUACUACGGGAGGCAGAAGAGGGGGAUAUUGGACAAUGGGAGGAAGCCGGAUGCAUCCAGACCGAGUGGGUGAAGAAAGCCUUCGGGGUGUAAAGAACGUUUGUUGGGAAAGAAAAGGAGAAGGUUGCUACCCCGAUGUUCUGACGGGACCCAAAGAAUAAGAACGGGCUAACUUCGUG